rnacentral:rRNA from 1 species
GACGUAGGGCGCGAGCGUUGUCCGGAUUUAUUGGGCGUAAAGAGCUCGUAGGCGGCUCGUUGCGUCGGCUGUGAAAACCCGCAGCUCAACUGUAGGCUUGCAGCUGAUACGGGCGGGCUGGGAUUCGGUAGGGGAGACUGGAAUUCCUGGUGUAGCGGUGAAAUGCGCAGAUAUCAGGAGGAACACCGGUGGCGAAGGCGGUUCUCUGGGCAUGUUCUGACGCUGAGGAGCGAAAGUGUGGGGAGCGAACAGG